AUGCACGCGGCCGCGUCCCCGAGCGAUGGCCAAGUGGCGCCGUGCUCCCAACGCCCAGGUGUUCUUCUCGGACGGUGUAGAGAAAGUUGCCGUACACGUUUGAUGUUUGCCACACGUGGAAGUAGGGAUGGGAUGAGAGUGAGCUUGUUCAAAUCCUCAAGGUUAGCUUACCGUGACACGCGUCCACAACUCUCGGAAAGCUCUGCCGUGAAACUUGCGUCCAUGUUUCUAGAUUUUGCAGCUUGCUUGCCCAAGUGGCAGGAGGAGCGUGCAUCUACUACUAGUACUCUGGUUCAUCCGCGUUUUUCGAAAAUGUUGUUUUAUUUUGUGAACCGUGAAAUCUGUAUUUGUUUCUGCAUGCAUACUGGGUCCGAGAAGGGUGAAUUCGUCGUGCUUCCAAAGAAAUUGGUCGCCAAUACAGCAUCUGGAUCUUCUUCUUUUUUUCAACAACCUUGCUGUGAGCCAACUACCUUGGCAUUUCUGCUGGUUCUUCCAUUUCCUUUUUUAUUUUGUGAUGAAUGGGGGCGCGCGCUUUGGUGGUUCUACAGCUGCAAGGCCAGCGUUGUGUGUUUAGCUGGCUAG
rnacentral:rRNA from 1 species